UACGAAGGGGGCUAGCGUUGUUCGGAAUUACUGGGCGUAAAGCGCGCGCAGGCGGCCAUUCAAGUCAGGGGUGAAAGCCCAGAGCUCAACUCUGGAACUGCCGUUGAAACUGUAUGGCUUGAGUACGAGAGAGGUGAGUGGAAUUCCCAGUGUAGAGGUGAAAUUCGUAGAUAUUGGGAAGAACACCGGUGGCGAAGGCGGCUCACUGGCUCGUUACUGACGCUCAGGAGCGAAAGCGUGGGGAUCAAACAGG
rnacentral:rRNA from 1 species